rnacentral:rRNA from 1 species
GACGAACGCUGGCGGCGUGCUUAACACAUGCAAGUCGAACGGAAAGGCCCUGCUUUUGUGGGGUGCUCGAGUGGCGAACGGGUGAGUAACACGUGAGUAACCUGCCCUUGACUUUGGGAUAACUUCAGGAAACUGGGGCUAAUACCGGAUAGGAGCUCCUGCUGCCUGGUGGGGGUUGGAAAGUUUCGGCGGUUGGGGAUGGACUCGCGGCUUAUAAGCUUGUUGGUGGGGUAGUGGCUUACCAAGGCUUUGACGGGUAGCCGGCCUGAGAGGGUGACCGGCCACAUUGGGACUGAGAUACGGCCCAGACGCCUACGGGAGGCAGCAGUGGGGAAUAUUGCACAAUGGGCGGAAGCCGGAUGCAGCAACGCCGCGUGCGGGAUGACGGCCUUCGGGUUGUAAACCGCUUUCGCCUGUGACGAAGCGUGAGUGACGGUAAUGGGUAAAGAAGCACCGGCUAACUACGUG